AGAAUGAACGUUGGCGGCGUGGAUUAGGCAUGCAAGUCGAACGGGCCGCAAGGCCAGUGGCGCAAGGGUGAGUAAGGCGACGGUAACCAACCCCGCGGUUGGGCAUAGCCGAGGGAAACUUCGGGUAAUUCCCAGCGACGCGGCUUCCCGGCAUCGGGAGGCCGCCAAAGAUUUAUCGCCGCGGGACGGGCCGUUGUGGUAUUAGCUUGUUGGCGGGGUGACGGCCCACCAAGGCUACGAUGCCUACCGGGCGUGCGAGCGUGGCCCGGCACACUGGGACUGAGACACUGCCCAGACUCCUACGGGAGGCUGCAGUCGAGAAUCUUCGGCAAUGGGCGCAAGCCUGACCGAGCGACGCCGCGUGGAGGAUGAAGGCCUUCGGGUUGUAAAGCUCUUUCGCCCGCGACGAUGAUGACGGUAGCGGGAGAAGAAGCCCGGCUAACUUCGUGCCAGCAGCCGC
rnacentral:rRNA from 1 species